rnacentral:rRNA from 1 species
AGAGUUUGAUGAUGGCUCAGAUUGAACGCUGGCGGCAUGCUUAAUACAUGCAAGUCGAACGGUAACAGAUUCUUCGGAAUGCUGACGAGUGGCGGACGGGUGAGUAAUACAUAGGAAUCUGCCCAUGUAGUGGGGGACAACUUGGGGAAACUCAAGCUAAUACCGCAUAAUUCCUACGGGAUAAAGAGGGCCACUGCUUGCAAGCUCUUGCUACUGGAUGAGCCUAUGUCGGAUUAGUUAGUUGGUAAGGUAAUGGCUUACCAAGACAGCGAUCCGUAGCUGGUUUGAGAGGAUGAUCAGCCACACUGGGACUGAGACACGGCCCAGACUCCUACGAGAGGCAGCAGUAGGGAGUAUUGGACAAUGGGCGCAAGCCUGAUCCAGCAAUGCCGCGUGUGUGAAGAAGGCCUGCGGGUUGUAAAGCACUUUCAAUUGGGAAGAAAGAUUAUGAGUUAAUACCUUAUAAUAUUGACGUUACCAAUACAAGAAGCACCGGCUAACUCUGUGCCAGCAGCCGCGGUAAUACAGAGGGUGCGAGCGUUAAUCGGAAUUACUGGGCGUAAAGAGUACGUAGGUGGUUAAAUCAGUCGGAUGUGAAAGCCCCAGGCUUAA